rnacentral:rRNA from 1 species
UACGGAGGGUGCAAGCGUUACUCGGAAUCACUGGGCGUAAAGGGCGCGUAGGCGGCCUAGCAAGUCUGGUGUGAAAGCCCAGGGCUCAACCCUGGAAGGGCACUGGAAACUGUUAGACUUGAGUUCCGGAGAGGAGGGGGGAAUUCCCGGUGUAGCGGUGAAAUGCGUAGAUAUCGGGAGGAAUACCGGUGGCGAAGGCGCCCCUCGGGACGGAAAUUGACGCUGAGGCGCGAAAGCGUGGGGAGCAAACAGG